rnacentral:rRNA from 1 species
AUCAUUACUGAAGAAAUGUUAGGGUUGAGCUGACUCUUUGGAGUAUGUGCUUGCUCUAUCACUUUUUCCUUCUCCUCCUGUGCACCUUUGUAGGCUACAAUAAACUGUACUAUUCUAAAAAUUGUGAUUGAGGAUGUUGCGCUAAACACACACGUCCCUUGCCUUUUGUAAUCUACGUUUUAUAAACUUCUGAAAUCCAAAAUGGUAUAAUUGGUCUUGAUUGACCAAUAAAAUGAUAUACAACUUUCAACAACGGAUCUCUUGGCUCUCCCAUCCAUGAAAAACGCAACCAAAUGCCAUAAAUAAUGGGAAUUGCAAAAUUCCAUGAAUCCUCCAAUCCUUGAACGCACCUUGCACCCUUUGGUAUUCCCAAAGGUACCCCUGGUCCAAUGGCAUUAAAUUCUCAAACCUUGAAUUGGUUUUUGCCCACUUUCAAGGCUUUGGAUGUGGGAAUUGCUGGCCUUUCAAUAAGUUCAGCUCUUCUUAAAUGCAUUAAUGGGUCUACUGGUCCCCUUUCAUCUGGUGUGAUAAUUAUCUACGCCUUUGAAAAGACCUCCUGUAACUGCUUUCUAACUGUCCAAUUAAUUACGACUACUUAUCAAAUAUUUGACCUCGCAUCAGGUGCGACUACCCGCUGAACUUAAGCA